rnacentral:rRNA from 1 species
GAGUUUGAUCCUGGCUCAGAUUGAACGCUGGCGGCAUGCCUUACACAUGCAAGUCGAACGGCAGCACGGGAGCUUGCUCCUGGUGGCGAGUGGCGAACGGGUGAGUAAUGCAUCGGAACGUAUCCUGGAGUGGGGGAUAACGUAGCGAAAGUUACGCUAAUACCGCAUAUUCUGUGAGCAGGAAAGCGGGGGACCUUCGGGCCUCGCGCUCUUGGAGCGGCCGAUGUCAGAUUAGCUAGUUGGUGAGGUAAAGGCUCACCAAGGCGACGAUCCGUAGCAGGUCUGAGAGGAUGAUCUGCCACACUGGAACUGAGACACGGUCCAGACUCCUACGGAGGCAGCAGUGGGAAUUUUGGACAAUGGGGGCAACCCUGAUCCAGCCAUGCCGCGUGAGUGAAGAAGGCCUGG